GAACUGCGAUAAGUAAUGUGAAUUGCAGAAUUCAGUGAAUCAUCGAGUCUUUGAACGCACAUUGCGCCCCCUGGCAUUCCGGGGGGCAUGCCUGUCCGAGCGUCAUUGCUGCCCUUCAAGCCCGGCUUGUGUGUUGGGUCGUCGUCCCCUCCGGGGGACGGGCCCGAAAGGCAUCGGCGGCACCGCGUCCGGUCCUCGAGCGUAUGGGGCUUUGUCACCCGCUCGAUAAGGACCGGCCGGGCGCCAGCCGGCGUCUCCAACCUUUUUUUCUCAGGUUGACCUCGGAUCAGGUAGAGAUACCCGCUGAACUUAAGC
rnacentral:misc_RNA from 1 species